rnacentral:rRNA from 1 species
AAGUYGUAACAAGGUUUCCGUAGGUGAACCUGCGGAAGGAUCAUUAUCAGGACAACAACCMCGAUUCAAGGAACAUGGGACGGCGUUGGGGUAGCCCUACCCMCAAUUGAGCGCCCGCGUCCGGGGAGGGACCAUUGACCCAGGGGUGAGGAGGUGCCCUACGGGGCGGCGACGAGACUUCCGGCCGACGUCGCGCGUGCACCUAGCCCAGGCGUCCGGAACGCUACUCCCCCCUCGCCCGUCCAAGCCACCGGCGGGUCUAAACGCUCGUUCCGAAGGAACAACCAACACACUGCGUACACAUCCCUGUUGCUUCCCCGGGGCCGUCCCCGGGGGAGGCCCCCGAGCGAAACGCGCCGCCCAACCCUCGGUCCGACGGCCAGCGUGCCAAGGAACUAGCAACGAGCGAUGAAACAGAGAAAAAAAAACUUUCAACAACGGAUCUCUUGGUUCCCGCAUCGAUGAAGAACGCAGCGAAAUGCGAUAAGUAAUGUGAAUUGCAGAAUUCAGUGAAUCAUCGAAUCUUUGAACGCACGUUGCGCCCCCUGGCAUUCCGGGGGGCAUGCCUGUUCGAGCGUCUCCGGGACGAAUCCUCGCGCGAGAUCAAGCGCGGUCAUGGCGCCGGUGGCGAGCCCGAGGCGGCGGCCACCGCGCCGGAAUCCAAUGGCAGACGCCCGCCGCGUGGCCUGAGCGUGAUAUGACGCACUGGCGCUCCCGCGCGGCGCGGCCUGCCGCACGCCGCCCGUCCGUUCGGGCGGGCCGGAAGCAAAGACAUGGGAACUCCUCGAAUCAGGUAGGGAUACCCGCUGAACUUAA